rnacentral:rRNA from 1 species
AACGUACGCUGGCGGCACGCCUAACACAUGCAAGUCGAACGAAGUAGCAAUACUUAGUGGCAGACGGGUGAGUAACAUGUAGGUAUCUGCCCUUUGGCCUGGAAUAACACGAGGAAACUUGUGCUAAUACCGGAUAAGUCUUUACGGAGAAAGCUUUAUGCACCAUUGGAUGAGCCUGCACUUGAUUAGUUUGUUGGUGGGGUAAUGGCCUACCAAGACUGUGAUCAAUAGCUGAUUUGAGAGGAUGAUCAGCCACAUUGGGACUGAGACACGGCCCAAACUCCUACGGGAGGCAGCAGUGGGGAAUCUUGCACAAUGGAGGAAACUCUGAUGCAGCGAUGCCGCGUGAGUGAAGAAGGCCCUUGGGUUGUAAAGCUCUUUCGUAGGGGAAGAAAAUGACUGUACCCGAAUAAGAAGGUCCGGCUAACUUCGUGCCAGCAGCCGCGGUAAUACGAAGGGACCUAGCGUAGUUCGGAAUUACUGGGCUUAAAGAGUUCGUAGGUGGUUGAAAAAGUUAGUGGUGAAAUCCCAGAGCUUAACUCUGGAACUGCCAUUAAAACUUUUCAGCUAGAGUAUGAUAGAGGAAAGCAGAAUUUCUAGUGUAGAGGUGAAAUUCGUAGAUAUUAGAAAGAAUACCAAUUGCGAAGGCAGCUUUCUGGAUCAUUACUGACACUGAGGAACGAAAGCAUGGGUAGCGAAGAGGAUUAGAUACCCUCGUAGUCCAUGCCGUAAACGAUGUGUGUUAGACGUUGGAAAUUUAUUUUCAGUGUCGCAGGGAAACCGAUAAACACACCGCCUGGGGAGUACGACCGCAAGGUUAAAACUCAAAUGAAUUGACGGGGACCCGCACAAGUAGUGGAGCAUGUGGUUUAAUUCGAAGAUACGCGCAGAACCUUACCAACACUUGACAUGUUCGUCGCGACUUUAAGAGAUUAAAGUUUUCGGUUCGGCCGGACGAAACACAGGUGCUGCAUGGCUGUCGUCAGCUCGUGUCGUGAGAUGUUGGGUUAAGUCCCGCAACGAGCGCAACCCUCACUUUUAGUUGCCAUCAUUUAGUUGGGCACUCUGAAAGAACUGCCAGUGAUAAGCUGGAGGAAGGUGGGGAUGACGUCAAGUCCUCAUGGCCCUUACGUGUUGGGCUACACACGUGCUACAAUGGUAUCUACAACAGGAAGCAAGACUGCGAAGUUAAGCAAAUCCCUAAAAGAUACCUCAGUUCGGAUUGCACUCUGCAACUCGAGUGCAUGAAGCUGGAAUUACUAGUAAUCGUGGAUCAGCGUGCCACGGUGAAUGCGUUCCCGGGUCU